CCAGAGGCCCUGAAAAGGUGUUUGUUUUCCUCUGCUUUUAACCAGCUGGGUGCCAGCAUUUUCUUUCCUCCUCUCCAUCUGACUCUAGGUGGAGACCAGGGCUCUCUCCCAGCUCUCACAGGACAUGCGUGACCAUCAGGAACCACCUCGAAUGGUGAAGGUGGAGGGAGGUGUCAGAGGUCCGGAUGAGACGUGGACACUCAGUAGCUCAGACUUCCCUCCUGUGCGAUACAACGGAAAUGCUAUCUGGAUGACAGUUGGUGGACCCGAUUCCCGCACCCAGUUCUCCCGAAUCAGAUCUACUUGAAGGGGAGCAAGGCGCAGAAGGCAACACGAGGCAGCUGCGAGAAUUAAUUCACCGCGAGAGUUGACAUUUUCGAGCUGACUGACUCUUAGAGAAAAUGAUGUCACCCUCCAGCAGCCUAAUGACAGUCAUCAGCCCGGGAGGACACACGCUAAUAAGGUGUUGGAACCAGCGUUGGCGUUGAGCAAGGCCAUUGCUUCAAGAGGCUGGGUUGCCUGACGUGAAGAAGGAGAG